rnacentral:rRNA from 1 species
GGGUGAGUAACACGUGGGUGAUCUGCCCUGCACUUCGGGAUAAGCUUGGGAAACUGGGUCUAAUACCGGAUAGGAGCCAUCUUUAGUGUGGUGGUUGGAAAGUUUUUUCGGUGUAGGAUGAGCUCGCGGCCUAUCAGCUUGUUGGUGGGGUAAUGGCCUACCAAGGCGGCGACGGGUAGCCGGCCUGAGAGGGUGUACGGCCACAUUGGGACUGAGAUACGGCCCAG